rnacentral:lncRNA from 1 species
GGGACCAGCUCAGGAAAGGGUAGGAAGAGGCAGCUCUAAUUCUCUGUACCCCUCAACAUCCUUCUCCAUGAAAACCAAAUGGACUCCCUAUACCCUCAGCAUCCCCAGCACUGAUGGGCCAUCCACCUACUGGGUAUGGACCACAGGGGUAGGAGUGACGGAUCGGAGGGAGAAGGGGCCAGGAGCCAGAGUGUUACAUCAUUGAACAUUAAAUAUAGGAUGCCAUAGGUUUUGCUACUUGAAGCAGAAUAAAUAUCUACAGG